CAGAAGGAGAAGGUUCCCCUGUUAAAACGUCAAGCUGUGGGAGCGGGUCUGACCUCCCGUGUGCGAGCAGCGCCGCCUGCUGGCCGGAGGGGGCGGCAGGAGGAGCCGCGCAGUGCCGCAGUGCUCCGCUGUCCGCCCGGCGCCGCUCUGAGCUUCGCGCCGCUGUGGACGCACGACAGGAGAUCAUCUGUGGGCUGCUGGGACGCGACGUGUUGGAACAGAAGCAGCAAACAGGAAGAACAUCUCUGGAACAUUCGGCAGAUUUAAAUGUCGGUCGGACGUCCUGUGAGGUCACAGCAGGUUGUGGGGAUGGAGGCUGCAAGAAGACUCACACACACUCACACACACACACACACGUGGAAACUCCAACACGCCUGCAGUGUGUGACGCGUGUGUGUCAAACAGCUUCCCAGUUACACUUUGACAUUGUGUCCUGAUCAUAUUUUUCAGUCACUUUUACAGAAAUCAGUUAUCAGAGUUUCUGCCCCUGCUGUGAAUGUGUUUGAACGCACCCGAACGCAUCGUCAUCUUCAGUGAACAGCUCCCGGCUGAUUUGUGUAUUGAUCAGUGACUGGAAAAUGAUUGGCUGUGCAAAGUAAACACAGCAGCACUCAGACGGUCACCGGGGAAACAUGUCGUUACAUUUACAU